UACGGAGAGGGCAAGCGUUGUUCGGAAUCACUGGGCAUAAAGGGCACGUAGGCGGGAUAGUAAGUCGGUUGUGAAAGCCCGGGGCUCAACCCCGGAACGGCUUCCGAAACUACUAACCUUGAGGAUGAGAGGGGAGAGUGGAACUUCUGGUGGAGCGGUGAAAUGCGUAGAUAUCAGAAGGAACACCGGUGGCGAAAGCGACUCUCUGGCUCAUUUCUGACGCUGAGGUGCGAAAGCUAGGGUAGCGAAC
rnacentral:rRNA from 1 species